rnacentral:rRNA from 1 species
CAGUCGCCACGGGAAUACGUAGGGUGCGAGCGUUAAUCGGAAUUACUGGGCGUAAAGCGUGCGCAGGCGGUUUUGUAAGACAGGCGUGAAAUCCCCGGGCUCAACCUGGGAAUGGCGCUUGUGACUGCAAAGCUAGAGUGCGGCAGAGGGGGAUGGAAUUCCGCGUGUAGCAGUGAAAUGCGUAGAUAUGCGGAGGAACACCGAUGGCGAAGGCAAUCCCCUGGGCCUGCACUGACGCUCAUGCACGAGAGCGUGGGGAGCAAACAGGAUUAGAUACCCGAGUAGUCCCUGUCUCUUAUAA